rnacentral:rRNA from 1 species
UAGCCGUAUCGGAAGGUGCGGCUGGAUCACCUCCUUUCU